rnacentral:rRNA from 1 species
UACAGAGGGUGCAAGCGUUAAUCGGAAUUACUGGGCGUAAAGCGUGUGUAGGUGGUUAGAUAAGUUAGAUGUGAAAUCCCCGGGCUUAACCUGGGCACUGCGUUUAAGACUGUUUAACUAGAGUACUGUAGAGGAUAGUGGAAUUUCCAGUGUAGCGGUGAAAUGCGUAGAUAUUGGAAGGAACACCAGUGGCGAAGGCGACUAUCUGGACAGAUACUGACACUGAGACACGAAAGCGUGGGGAGCAAACAGGAUUAGAAACCCCCGUAGUCC